UACGGAGGGUGCAAGCGUUAUCCGGAUUUACUGGGUUUAAAGGGUGCGUAGGUGGGUCUGUAAGUCAGUGGUGAAAUCUUCAAGCUUAACUUGGAAACUGCCAUUGAUACUAUAGGUCUUGAAUUAUCUGGAGGUGAGCGGAAUAUGUCAUGUAGCGGUGAAAUGCUUAGAUAUGACAUAGAACACCAAUUGCGAAGGCAGCUCACUACGGAUGUAUUGACACUGAGGCACGAAAGCGUGGGGAUCAGACAGG
rnacentral:rRNA from 1 species